rnacentral:misc_RNA from 1 species
GCUCCAUCUUUUCUUCCUUCAUCACAAGCAGAGCGCGGUUUCCAUUUGCAUUAUGUCUCUAAACCCAAACAGAUCCAAAACCGCAACUCUUUUCUAUCUUUCUCUUUAAUGCCAGUUCAGAUCGCCUGACUCGGUCUCUAAGCACAGUUGACUCGCCCACUAAACAACCGACUCAAGAGCUUCGAAUUCCAAUGGGAGCAGUGCCUUCAACGCCGCAACGCCCGCAAGACACGGCGGACUACCUAAUUGGCUCAUUUGUCGGCGNNNNNNNNNNNUCCCUCUUGGUUCAGAUUUCUGGCAGAAACUUCUCGAACUCCCUCUCAAUCUCCGUUGGCCCAC